GCUGGAGUGCAGUGGCGUGAUCUCUGCUCACUGCAAGCUCCACCUCCCAGGUUCACGCCAUUCUUCUGCCUCAAGCCUCCCGAGUAGCUGGGACUACAGGUGCCUGCCACUGCGCCUGGCUAAUUUUUUGUUUUAGUAGAGACGGGGUUUCACCGUGUUAGCCAGGAUGGUCUCGAUCUCCUGACCUCGUGAUCCGCCCACUUUGGCCUCCCAAAGUGCUGGGAUUACAGGCAUCAGCCACUGCGCCCGGCCAGCUUGGUUUUAUUCAUUUUAGGGAGACAUGAGUCAUCAAUCAAAUACAUUUAAGAAAUACAUUGGUUUGGUUCAGAAAGGCAGGACAAUGCAAAGCCGGGGCUUCCACGCUAUAGGUAAAUUUAAAUACUUUCUGGUUGACAGUUGGUUGAGUUUAUCUGAAGGCCGGGGAUCAAUGGAAAGAAAAUGUUCAGGUUAAGAUAAAGGAUUGUGGAGACCAAGUUUUAUUGUGCAGAGGAAGCUCUCAGAUAGCUGACUUCAGAGAGAGCAGGUUGUAAAAUGUUUCUUAUUGAACUUAGAAGGGUGCCUGGCUCUUAGCUGAUUAUCUCCUGGAUCUGGAAAGGAAGGAAGGAAAACAAAGGGGGAAAGGGGAUUCUCUACAGAAUGUGGAUUUUUCCCACAAGAGACUUUGCAGGGCUGUUUCAAGAUAUGGCAGAGAAACAUGUUUUGCAGUAAAAUAUUUUGAUUUUCUUCCUUGUUAUGCCAGAGUCAGAUUGGAAAGUAAGUCACAAUAUACAGGAUUAAAUAAAACCCAUCUGAUGAGAAUUGAUGAUUUGUAGGGCAUGACUCCCCAGACCCCUUAGAUAGGAAUUUGGGCAAAAAAAAAAAUCAGAGCUUAGUCCUCAUAUAUCACUAUAGGAUACAUUCCUGGAGGUAAAAUUGCUGGAUGAAGUCAACACUAUUAGUUGCCUAUUUAAAAAAUAUCCCCCUCUACACAUACACACACACACACACACACACACACACACCCCAUUUUUUGUAAUAGAACCCUGCUUUUAUUUGAAAUAGCCAUGUGUUCAAUUUAAAAACUCACUUUCCCAUCCUCAUUUGCACUUGUGCUGGUCAUGUGACGCUGCUUUUAGCAAUAAGAUGAAGGUGGUGGUUUCUGAGGGUAGUGUCCUUUUCAGAAUAAAAAGACAAAGCUUAUUUGCCUUCUUCUUCCUUUACUUUAUAUUCCUCUUUCUGCCAGGAAUAUAAAUGUGACUCUGUGGUGUCACGCGCAUCCGUGUGAAGAGACCACCAAACAGGCUUUGUGUGAGCAACAAGGCUGUUUAUUUCAACUGGGUGCAGGCGGGCUGAGUCCAGAAAGAGUCAGCGAAGGGAGAUAGGGGUGGGGCCGUUUUAUAGGAUUUGUGUGGGUAGUGGAAAAUUACAGUCAAAAGGGGUUUUUCUCUUGCAGGCAUAGGUGGGGGUCACAAGGUGCUCAGUGGGGGAGUUUCUAAGCCAGGAGAAGGAAUUUCACAAGGUUAAUCGCUCAGUUAAGGUGGGGCAGCAACAAAUCACAAUGGUGGGAUGUCAUAAGUUAAGGCAGGAAUGGGCCAUUUUCACUUCUUCUGUGAUUCUUCAGUUACUUCAGGCCAUCUGGAUGUAUACGUGCAGGUCACAGGGGAUAUGAUGGCUUAGCUUGGGCUCAGAGGCCUGACAUGUGGGUACAGCAGCUAUCUUGUGACCAUGAAACGGAGGCAGGAAAAUGAAGACCUGUGCACCAAAAUGCAGGAAGUCAACGUCAUAUGUAUUAAAAUACACUGCGUGUCUCCCAUCCACAUGACAAGUAUUGGUGAGAGGUGACAGCGUGCUGGCAGUCCUCAGAGCCCUCGCUUGCUCUCGGCACCUCCCCUGCCUGGGCUCCCAGUUUGGUGGCAUUUGAGGAUCCCUUCAGCCCCCCCACUGCACUGUGGGAGCCCCUUUCUGGGCUGGCCAAGGCCGGAGCCCACUCCCUUAGCUUGCAGGGAGGUGUGGAGGGAGAGGCACGAGCGGGAACCGGGGCUGCCUGCGGCGCUUGCGGGCCAGCUGGAGUUCCGGGUGGGCGUGGGCUUGGUGGGCCCCGCACUCGGGCAGCCAGUCAGCCCUGCUGGCCCCAGGUAAUGGGGGACUUAGCACGCGGGCCAGUGGCUGCGGAGGGUGUACUGGGUCCCCCAGCAGUGCUGGCCCACCGGCGCUGCGCUCGAUUUCUCGCCGGGCCUUAGCUGCCUUCCCACGGGGCAGGGCUCGGGACCUGCAGCCCGCCAUGCCUGAGCCUCCCACCCCCUCUGUGGGCUCCUGUGCGGCCCGAGCCUCCCCGACGAGCACCACCCCCUGCUCCAAGGCGCCCAGUCCCAUCGACCACCCAAGGGCUGAGGAAUGCGAGCAAACGGCGCAGGACUGGCAGGCAGCUCCACCUGCAGCCACGGUGCGGGAUCCACUAGGUGAAGCCAGCUGGGCUCCUGAGUCUGGUGAGGACGUGGAGAGUCUUUAUAUCUAGCUCAGGGAUUGUAAAUACACCAAUCAGCACCCUGUGUUUAGCUCAAGGUUUGUGAGUGCACCAGUCGACACUCUGUAUCUAGCUGCUCUGGUGAGGACGUGGAGAGUCUUUAUAUCUAGCUCAGGGAUUGUAAAUGCACCAAUCAGCACCCUGUGUUUAGCUCAAGGUUUGUGAGUGCACCAGUCUACAGUCUGUAUCUAGCUGCUCUGGUGAGGACGUGGAGAGUCUUUAUAUCUAGCUCAGGGAUUGUAAAUACACCAAUCAGCACCCUGUGUUUAGCUCAAGGUUUGUGAGUGCACCAAUUGACACUCUGUAUCUAGCUGCUCUGGUUGGGCCUUGGAGAACCUUUAUGUCUAGCUCAGGGAUUGUAAAUACACCAAUCGGCACUCUGUAUCUAGCUCAAGGUUUGUAAACACACCAAUCAGCACCCUGUGUUUAGCUGAAGGUUUGUGAGUGCACCAAUCGACACUCUGUAUCUAGCUGCUCUGGUGGGGCCUUGGAGAACCUGUGUGUGGAAACUCUGUAUCUAACUAAUCUGAUGGGGACGUGGAGAACCUUUGUAUCUAGCUCAGGGAUUGUAAACGCACCAAUCAGCGCCCUGACGAAACAGGCCACUCGGCUCUACCAAUCAGCAGGAUGUGGGUGGGGCCAGAUAAGAGAAUAAAAGCAGGCUGCCUGAGCCAGCAUUGGCAACCAGCUCGGGUCCCCUUCCACACCGUGGAAGCUUUGUUCUUUCACUCUUUGCAAUAAAUCUUGCUACUGCUCACUCUUCGGGUCCAGGCUGCUUUUAUGAGCUGUAACACUCACCGCGAAGAUCUGCAGCUUCACUCCUGAGCCAGCGAGACCACGAACCCACCAGAAGGAAGAAACUCCAAACACAUCUGAACAUCAGAAGGGACAGACUCCAGACGUGCCACCUUAAGAGCUGUAACACCGCGAGGGUCCGCAGCUUCAUUGUUGAAGUGAGACCAAGAACCCACCAAUUCCGGACACAUUGGCCCUCCGAACCCUGAAGAGAUCAUCAUAUAUAUGUGCUGCCGAAGCGAGCACUCCUGAAGAGAUUAACUAAGAGUCUAGCACCUUUUAAGGUCUGAAUAGGAAACAUCUGUCAUCUAUUCUCUCUAAGGGCAGCCACUAUAAGAGUUCAAAAGAAACUUGCUCGCCACAAUCUUUUUUUUUUUUUUUUGAGAUGGAGUCUCACUCUGUUGCCCAGGCUGGAGUAGAGUGGCACCAUCUUGUCUCACUGCAACCUCCACCUCCCAGGUUCAAGUGAUCCUCCUGCCUCAGGCCCCCUAGUAGCUAGGAUUACAGGCACGCAUCACCAUGCCUGGCUAAUUUUUUUUUUUUUUUUGAGAUGGAGUUUCAUGCUGUUGCCCAGGCUGGAGUGCAAUGGCGCCAUCUUGACUCACUGCAACCUCCAUCUCCUGGGUUCAAGCCAUUCUCCUGCCUCAACUUCCCGAGUAGCUGGGAUUACAGGCGCCUGCCACCACGCCCAGCUAAUUUUUGUAUUUUUAGUAGAGAAGCGGUUUCACCAUGCUGGCCAGGCUGGUCUCGAACUCCCGACCUCAGGCUAUCCGCCUGCCUCAGCCUCCCAAAGUGCUGGGAUUAUAGAUGUGAGCCAGUGCGACUGGCCUAAGUGCUGGGAUUACGGGAGUGAGCCGCUGCGCCUGGCCUAAGUGCUGGGGUACAGGCGUGAGCCACCAGGCCAGCGAAGUCUCCACAAUCUUUUUUUUCUUUUUUUUUUGAGGCAGAGUCUCCCUCUGUCACCAGGCUGGAUUGCAGUGGCGAUCUCGGCUCACUGCAACCUCUGCCUCCCAGGUUCAAGCAAUUCUCCUGCCUCAGCCUCCUGAGUAGCUGGGACUACAGGAACGCACCACCAACCCCAGCUAAUUUUUGCAUUUUUGGUAGAGACAGGGUUUCUCCAUGUUGGCCAGGAUGGUCUCCAUCUCUUGACCUCGUGAUCUGCCCACCUCUGCCUCCCAAAGUGCUGGGAUUAUAGGUGUGAACGACCGUGCCCGGCCCCCACAAUCUUUUAUCUUAACCUGAGCAUUUCCUUUCUAUGGAUCCCAGGUCUUUAGACAAACUCAUCCAAUUGUCAACCAGAAAAUGUUUAAAUUUACCUAUAGCCUGGAAGGCCCCCCGACCGACGCCCUCCCGCCCCCGCCCCCGCCGCCCCUCCACUGCCUUAUCUGCUUUGAGUUGUCCCGCCUUUCUGGACCAAACCAAUGUACUUCUUAAAUGUAUUUGAUUAAUGUCUCAUGCCCUCCCUAAAAUGUAUAAAACCAAGCUGCACCCAACCACCUUGGGCACAUGUUCUCAGGAUCUCCUGAGGGCUGUGUCACAGACCAUGGUCACUCAUAUUUGGCUCAGAAUAAAUUUCUUUAAAUAUUUUACAGAGUUUGACUCUUUUUGUCAACACUGUGCACUUCAAAAAUGUUCAUGUCAUAGAAAACAAAGUUUGAGGAACUGUUCUAGAUUAAAGGAGC
rnacentral:lncRNA from 10 species